AAUGAGUCUCAUAGCCAUUGGUCUGAAUACUUAAAAGUUAAAAGUGACAACAAAAAAGGGGACCAAAGGUAGAAGGGAACCAAGGGAAAGGGAGAUCAAAGCGAAGCCAUCAAAGUGUGGUGGGCACCUGGCCCUGGAGAGGCCCCUGGUGACAGCCCUGCUGCUCACUCUGAGUGGUGUGAUGUGUUCUUAUUAACCAGUGGUACAGCAGCUCCGAGAGGAACAUACUGUACAGUUGAAGUCAGAAGUUUACAUACACCUUAGCCAAAUACAUUUACACUCAGUUUUUCACAAUUCCUGACAUUGAAUCCUAAUAAAAAUUUCUGUCUGUACACAAUUGUUGAAAAAAUGACUUGUGUCAUGCACAAAGUAGAUGUCCUAACCUGUCACAACUCGGCCCCUCUCCUUGUUCGGGCGGCGUUCGACGUCACCGGCCUUCUAGCCAUCGCUGAUCCACUUUUCAUUUGUUUUGUCUUACACACCUGGUUUCAAUCCCCCAAUUACUUGUUCAUUAUUUAACCCUCUGUUCCCCCAUGUUUGUUUGUGAGUAAUUGUUUGUACGUAAUACGGUCUGUUAUGUGGGCUUCGUUUUAUUGUAUUGUAUUGGUCUAUUUCGGAGUAAAUUACGUUCAUUUACUCAUAUCUGCUGUCCUGCGCCUGACUCCUCUACACAAGC
ensembl:lncRNA